rnacentral:rRNA from 1 species
GACGAACGCUGGCGGCGUGCUUAACACAUGCAAGUCGAACGGAAAGGCCCUGCCUUUGAGGCGUGCUCGAGUGGCGAACGGGUGAGUAACACGUGAGUAACCUGCCCAUCACUUUGGGAUAACUUCUGGAAACGGGGGCUAAUACCGGAUACGAGCUCCUGCUGCAUGGUGGGGGGUGGAAAAUUUCGUCGGUUGGGGAUGGACUCGCGGCUUAUCAGCUUGUUGGUGGGGUAGUGGCUUACCAAGGCCGUGACGGGUAGCCGGCCUGAGAGGGUGAGCGGCCACAUUGGGACUGAGAUACGGCCCAGACUCCUACGGGAGGCAGCAGUGGGGAAUAUUGCACAAUGGGCGGAAGCCUGAUGCAGCAACGCCGCGUGCGGGAUGACGGCCUUCGGGUUGUAAACCGCUUUCGGCAGUGACGAAGCGUAAGUGACGGUACUUGGAGAAGAAGCACCGGCUAACUACGUG